AGCGAACGCUGGCGGCAGGCUUAACACAUGCAAGUCGAACGCCCCGCAAGGGGAGUGGCAGACGGGUGAGUAACACGUGGGAACGUACCCUUUGGUUCGGAAUAACUUGGGGAAACUCAAGCUAAUACCGGAUAAGCCCUUAUGGGGAAAGGUUUACUGCCGAAGGAUCGGCCCGCGUCUGAUUAGCUAGUUGGUGAGGUAAUGGCUCACCAAGGCGACGAUCAGUAGCUGGUCUGAGAGGAUGAUCAGCCACACUGGGACUGAGACACGGCCCAGACUCCUACGGGAGGCAGCGGUGGGGAAUAUUGGACAAUGGGGGCAACCCUGAUCCAGCCAUGCCGCGUGAGUGAUGAAGGCCUUAGGGUUGUAAAGCUCUUUUACCCGGGACGAUGAUGACUGUACCGGGAGAAUAAGCCCCGGCUAACUUCGUGCCAGCAGCCGCGGUAA
rnacentral:rRNA from 1 species